GAAGGACAGGUAGUCAAGAGAUUCAGUCCCAUGGAUGACCCACUUACGAUGGAAAAGGAGCUGCUCCGAUACCUGUAAAAGCCCCGCCUGCCUCUUGCCAGCCCUGGCUCUGCUCCGCCAGCGUUUCUCUGGUUUGCCUGUGAAUUUUGCCUGGGUGAAGGUCUGCCUUCAAGCCAAGCCUAUCUUGGUGAGGCAGGUCUGAGAGAUUUGGCACAAGUUCACACGGGAGGCUAGCUGGAACGUCUGUAUUUGCACCCCAGGCCGCAACUUCCAUCUUGUACAAAAUAAAGAUGUUUUUUUUUCUUUCAGCCGA